GUCAAGCUAAUUAAAGGCUAAUGGUGGAUACCUAGGCACACAGAG
rnacentral:rRNA from 1 species